GUGAAAUUCAGGGGGGGUGAAUGUAACAUAUGUGUUAAAUACUUGUGAAUUUCACCCAAAACACUUUCUUUUUUUUGGAUUAAAUAUGUCAUUUUUGCAUCUCACUCUCCUACCUGUGUGAUCUGAGUCUGUGUGCGUUCAUGUGCAUGUGUGCGCUGCGUGGUGACGUAGGCGCGUGCAUGUGUGCCCCGGUCACAGCUCCUUUCAGCAUGGCCGGAGGAGAGGUGUACUGGCAGUCGCAUGACACACACAGAUCGAACGCAUAUUUCUGUGUUGCAGAUGUGCAGUAAAGAGCCAAAGACCCAGUACUGUCUCCUGCCUCUUACUUUCACGCCAGAACACAACGCAGAACAACAGGCGUAACACAUGAACGG